rnacentral:lncRNA from 1 species
AUUAACAUUUAUAUAUAUGUAAACACAUAUAUAGAGCGUUAUUUACAUUUGUAUACUUAUAUGUACGCUACAACGCUCCGCUGCCGAGUUAACAAGAAAUGGGCCAACUUCCCCGAGAAUGACGGUUUGGAGUAAACAUCGAGUAAUUUUCCAAAGCACGGACAAAUAAGCUCAAGCUCCGACGGUUGCAAAGCCUUGAGGAUAACCUUGAUCGCAUAUAGCUUAAAAUACUAGUUCACUCGGUCUCCUACUGGCUCUUCUCUAUCAGCAAACAAACGAGAAGGAAGUUCCAGAACAGCCAUGUCAUGCAGAAAGAAAUAAGGGUAAUAAGUUGUUAGCAAAGGAUUAGAUCUGGAAUUAUAGAGCAGUAUACGGGAAGGGCUAAAAGAAAAAAUAGAUCUGUAAAGGUGGUGUCGAGAAAAGUAGAGAUCUAAAUAGAUCUGUAAAGGUGGUGUCGAGAAAAGUAGAGAUCUAAUUUAUCCGAGGGAGAUCUAUGAUUAUACUAGAUCGAAACCCAUAAACGGUAAAAAUCGAAAAAAGACUAUUCUGAAAGCGUAACAUGAUGGCGUUUGGAAAUAGGAAAAACAAAAAUAAUUGACAGUGUUUAUAAAACAUCGAAAACCGAAAGAAAAUGAGAAGCCAUUAAACUCGCGAAUUCUGUUCUCCGACGAGAACGACGGUUAAUAUAACCCCAGAGACGACGGCUUACCGAGAUGAUAAUGCUAAUUCCUUCGGAGGGAGAGUUUGAUGAAAGAAAAAUCAGAUGUGAACAGAGAGUGAUGGGACUUAGGGUUAACAGUAGCA